rnacentral:rRNA from 1 species
CAGUCGCCGCGGUAAAACCAGCAGCCCAAGUGGUGGUCGCGAUUAUUGGGCCUAAAGCGCUCGUAGCCGGGCCGGUAAGUCCCUUGUGAAAUCGGACGGCCUAACCGUUCGGCGUGCAAGGGAUACUGUCGGUCUUGAGGCCGGGAGACGUCCGAGGUACUCCGGGGGUAGCGGUGAAAUGUUCUGAUCCUCGGGGGACCACCGGUGGCGAAGGCGUUCGACGAGAACGGGCCUGACGGUGAGGGGCGAAGGCUAGGGGAGCAAACGGGAUUAGAUACCCGCGUAGUCCCUGUCUCUUAUU